CACGUAGGUGGCGACGUAAGUCGGGUGUGAAAGCCCCGGGCUCAACCUGGGAAUUGCAUUCGAGACUGCGUUGCUGGAGUACGGAAGAGGAGGGCGGAAUUCCCGGUGUAGCGGUGAAAUGCGUAGAUAUCGGGAGGAACAUCAGUGGCGAAGGCGGCCCUCUGGUCCAGUACUGACACUCAAGUGCGAAAGCGUGGGGAGCAAACA
rnacentral:rRNA from 1 species